rnacentral:lncRNA from 1 species
GUGCAGCCUAGUGCAUAUGACUGACAGAAACGUGAAGCCACAGUGGACGCCUGGAUGAGACACAGAUCACCUUCCAAAUCUGAGUGUGGCCUUGGGACCAACCAGGCAGCCAGGGAGAAGGCAGAGACCAGAGGGAACCCAGCUCCAGAAGCUCUGGAGCCGCCAGCACUGAGAGAAGCGAUGGAGCUGCAUGCAGGGUGAGUGUAGGACCGGG